AUGACGUAAUUAUUAAUCAGCUCACUCGUACUAGUCUGUUCAUUCGUCCGAUUCGUUUUAGGUCUGUUCGUUUUACAACUUUGAGAAGAGUGAUUGAAUCACGCUGCGUUGAAGAAUAGAAGGCAAUUAAUCAUUUUCAAAAUAAACAUUUAUGUGAAGGUUCUAUGUAGUAGGAAACUACAAAGUGAUAACAUUGCAGUUUGAAUCUGGUUCAAGCAUAGACACAUACAAUUCCAAAAGUUGUUAUUAAACUAGGUCAUAUCGGAUGGAGAAAGAGCUUGUGGGCUGGGCUACAGGCCAAAGCGAAGAGCUGAAGAUAGCAAGAUUGCUGUUACAAAAUUUUCCAAUGCAUCGAAAAAUUUUCAAUCAUCACUACUUCGAAUCAAGAGAAAAUGGUAUGUGGUAUAAUCAGUUAUGAAACCUUUCCGAAAGGUAUAAGGUUUUAGCAAUCAUCGUUUGGUGGAUUGUUUUGAUGUUUGUUCCCAACUUCCCAUGUCUAAAGAUAAAUCCUAGCUCACACCCCACUAAGAGGAAUAGACUAGUUAAUAGUUUAGUUUUAGUUAAUAGCAGUAUUUCGUUGUCGCCUACCAUGUUCAUGAAGGACAAAGUCGAAAAGUAGUUGGAGACAGUCGUCAGGAUGAUUCCGACGACCAUCAGUGUGAUUUUGACCGGUACGGGAUUGGAUUUGUCACCAAGGAUGUGGCUCGGAUUGGAACUUCAUUUCGACUUCGGAUGCUGUAAAAAACUGAAGAAGAAACGCGAGUUAACGAUGCUGCAGUGGUCAACUUAAUCAUACAGACUGGCAUUUUUAUGGUGGAGGAUUCAGAAGAUAAACCUGCCAGCUUUUGGAACAGGUUCACUUCAUUAUUCAUUAUUUUACCUGGGGAAUCCAUCAUUCCACUAGUCUGUUACGAAAGUGCUAGUUACAAACGACAAAAUCUUCUCGAACGACAAGUCUUCGAAGUCGAUUAAAGAAGGAGAAUUUAUUGCGAGAAGAACAGGAUUUGACAUUCGUUUUCUAACCAAUGAACAACUGGAUGCGUAAAGCUCAACAGUUGACACGGGGGACCUUUCUUGUCAUUGCAACUAUAUUAUGAUUCAAACUGAUGCCGGUUGAGACUGGUUUGGAUCUUAAAAUCCACUGGACUCAUCAGACUAUUCCGUUUCCUGCCUGCUGAUAUACUUUGGAUCCGGUGUCAAGUACCGAAUACUAACCCGGAUCGUGUGAUAAUUUAGAGCAAACAUUUUGGGGCAUCUUUCGUUCGACAUUUCAGCGCAUUCAACCUCCGCUUAAAUCGACGGUUUGCAACUUAACCAUAAAUUUGGAUAAGUUUGCAGAGGAGGAGAAGAAUAUUUUUAAAAAGCCGACUGUGCUUCAAACGGUUCGAAAUGAAAGAUUUAUUCAUUCACCAAGAAACGAGUCAAACGACUCACAUGUAAAAUGACCCAUCCCCAGCAACGUUAACCUGCAGAAGGAAAGGCCAGUUUCCAUGUACAUUCGA